rnacentral:rRNA from 1 species
AGAGUUUGAUCCUGGCUCAGGAUGAACGCUAGCUACAGGCUUAACACAUGCAAGUCGAGGGGCAGCAUUAUCUUAGCUUGCUAAGAUAGAUGGCGACCGGCGCACGGGUGAGUAACACGUAUCCAACCUUCCGGUUACUCGGGGAUAGGCUUUCGAAAGAAAGAUUAAUACCCGAUGUUGCGUAUCUUUCUCCUGAAAGAUACGCCAAAGGAUUCCGGUAACCGAUGGGGAUGCGUUCCAUUAGGCAGUUGGCGGGGUAACGGCCCACCAAACCUUCGAUGGAUAGGGGUUCUGAGAGGAAGGUCCCCCACAUUGGAACUGAGACACGGUCCAAACUCCUACGGGAGGCAGCAGUGAGGAAUAUUGGUCAAUGGACGGAAGUCUGAACCAGCCAAGUAGCGUGAAGGAUGACUGCCCUCUGGGUUGUAAACUUCUUUUAUACGGGAAUAACAUGAGGUACGCGUACCUUAUUGCAUGUACCGUUAUGAAUAAGCAUCGGCUA